CACACGUUUUUCAAGUCCACUUUUGGAACUCGUAAUUCAAAACUGUCACUUGAGUGAAUUCAUUUCAUUCAGUUCUUAUUGAAUGAUAGAAUAAUUUGGGUGGCAUUUUGUAGAGUUCGACAACUUUUUUGUUGUGUCAUCAAAAGUGCAUGAGUCAUUGGCGUGUAACAGCAGUAUACCCUCUGGCUGUGGCCAUGAUCACAUACACAUGUUUUGAUGAGCUGCUGACUGACUGACUCUUGUUAGUCACUACUCAUUGUGGUUCAAUUAUGUGAUCUAUACUACAUGAGAGGACACU
rnacentral:snoRNA from 1 species